ACGAAUUUUGACCGAAUUUUUGACAAAUUUGGUCCGAUUUUUUUUAAGAAAACAGAACAGAACAGAGAAAUCAAUUAAAAACGAUCAACUACAGCAGCAGUGCUUGCACGGCCACUGGCCCUCAUCUGGCUGAUGCCGCUGCUACCAGUAGCAUGGGGAUUUGGUUUGCAUGGCACCACAUGCCCAGAAUGAACCACUACAGCAGCAAUGGAUGAUUGGAGAUUAGGGAUUGGGAAGGAUUCAGGAUAUGGCUGUAGGAGAGGAGAGGAGUGGAAGGGGAGACGAUGGGGAAGGAGAGCACUCGAACGGGAGAUCCGACGCCGCGCCUUCACAUGGUCGCGAGCAUGCGCGCUAGGCGAGCCGCCGGCCUGCCGCCGUCUAGACGAUGGGGAGGG
rnacentral:lncRNA from 1 species